CAGCAUGCGCUUUCUUACGCCAUUCGGAAGCUUUGGGAAGAAGGAUGCUCUCUAUGAGGUGAGUUUCUGGAUCGCAUUGUACUUCUCCUGUUAAAACAUAUAUUCACACAGUUAGUCCAUGUUUACAGGUGCACAGCCACGGAGACUCUGUCGCUCUAGUUGGGUCAGGACUGGGAGGAGGCUCACUAGUGAAUGCUGGAAUCAUCAUGCCCACACCGAAAAGAGCACGAAGGCAUCCAAACUGGCCAAAAGAGUGGGAGGAAGACUGGGAGAAACACGAAGCAAAAUCCCACAGCAUUCUGGAGCCUGAAUAUGCUCAGAAUGAGCCACCAAAGUCCAAAGUGCUAGACCAAAUUGCAAACGAGAUCGAGGAUGCAGCAAAAGAUUCCAUGAAGUUGACCAUAAGUUUCAAACAGAAGAAGAAUGCUGCUGGAGUUACCCAAAACGAAUGCAUUUCGUGCGGUAACUGUCUAUCAGGAUGCAAGUACAACGCAAAGAGCUCAACAGACAAAAAUUACCUCGAACUAGCCGCACAGGUACUUUAUCGCUGUAUUGAAGGCAUAUCUUCUUACGGAAAUCGAAUGCGCAGGCAGGAGCCAGAAUUUGCACGCAGACGGAAGUGAUGUUCAUCAGCGAGAACUCAGAAGAAUUCUGUUGUCAAAACUGCAAUGAUGGAGCAAAUUGCAAAUCAGUAGCUACAAGAAGAUGGCGUGUGCACCUGAAUGAAGUGGAUUAUAUUUCGGCAGACUACGUCAUCGUAGCCGGUACUAUCUUGUAAAAGCUCGAAACUUUCGUUGCUAAUAUUUGCUGCCCCUUCUUUCUUCAGCUGGUGUUCUUGGCACGAAUGGGAUCCUCUUGCGAUCAAAAGAGCGAGGCCUACAACUGUCCCAACAGUUGGGAUACGGAGUUAGCUGCAAUGGAAAUAAUAUAGCUUACAUAACAGGCACAGCCGCACAGACUCAAGCUCAAGGACUUCGAGAAGAAGAUUUCUCAAGGACUCCCAUGCAGCUACGUCCUGGUCCAGUCAUAUCAAGUUCACAUACAUCAUCACUUGGCUUUACAAUACAGGUAAUAUGAGUGAAAUAAGCUUAUAUCAAGCUAAACACCUCUUUCAGGGCUCUUGUAUUCCUCAAGCUGCUCCAGAAUUUCUACUAAGGGGAGUCAUUACUUAUGGCCUAGGGGACUACGGGUUUCUCACUGGUAUCUGGGAACAAGUCAAACAAUGGACAGGAACGCAGAACAGCCAAGCUCUGGUAUUGAAUAUGAUGGGAUAUGACGCUGCUGACGGGCAAAUCAAGAUAGACAAGCUAACAGGAAGAGUGGCAUACAGUGCAGCGAAGGACUUACUUUUUCAUCAUAAGCUUCGGACCGCUGAAAAGUUGGCAGCUCGCCU
rnacentral:lncRNA from 1 species